rnacentral:rRNA from 1 species
GAUGAACGCUGGCGGCGUGCCUAACACAUGCAAGUCGAACGGAGUCCAGCCUUAGAGACCUUCGGGUCAAAGAGGGGAAGACUGAGUGGCGGACGGGUGAGUAACACGUGGGCAACCUGGCUCAUAGAGGGGGAUAACAGAGAGAAAUUUCUGCUAAUACCGCAUAAGCACACACUGCCGCAUGGCAGAGUGUGAAAAGAGAAUCGCUAUGAGAUGGACCCGCGUCUGAUUAGCCAGUUGGCAGGGUAAGAGCCUACCAAAGCGACGAUCAGUAGCCGAUUUGAGAGGAAGAACGGCCACAUUGGGACUGAGACACGGCCCAAACUCCUACGGGAGGCAGCAGUGGGGGAUAUUGCACAAUGGGGGGAACCCUGAUGCAGCGACGCCGCGUGAGUGAAGAAGUAUUUCGGUAUGUAAAGCUCUAUCAGCAGGGAAGAUAAUGACAGUACCUGAAUAAGAAGCCCCGGCUAACUACGUG